UACGAAGGGGGCUAGCGUUGUUCGGAAUUACUGGGCGUAAAGGGCGCGUAGGCGGCCUUCUAAGUCGAACGUGAAAUCCCCGGGCUCAACCCGGGAACUGCGUCCGAUACUGGGAGGCUUGAAUCCGGGAGAGGGAUGUGGAAUUCCAGGUGUAGCGGUGAAAUGCGUAGAUAUCUGGAGGAACACCGGUGGCGAAGGCGGCGUCCUGGACCAACACUGACACUGAUGAGCGAAAGCCAGGGGAGCAAACGGG
rnacentral:rRNA from 1 species